AGGUGAAGCAGCUUUUCGUUUCAUUCCGUUCCCAUAUAUGGGGCACUACACUCUUUUUAUUCCAAUAAAAAGAUCAAUUGGUAUAGAAUGAAAAAAUAAAAGUUCUCCCUGUAUAAUCCAGCAGUUAUUUUUUAACAAGUGUAUAAAGUUGGCAAUAGUCCCAUCCUCGCGUAAUAAUUUUUUAAAGGUGAGAGAUGCGGCUUCGCGUCACGUGCUUGCCGCUAGACCAAUGAGAUGGCAUAACGUCGGAACGACAUGUAAACAUGGUCCAAGAUGGCAGCGCCCUUGUCGUCACUAUCGAGAAGCGAAGAGGAUAAAAUUAUUGUCAGACCUCCACCAAAAGUCAGUAAAAGGGUUUAUAAACAAUGCUAUAUGCAUCUCACGUCCAUAAAAAAAGAAGAAGCGAAGGAUUUUACACGCACACGGUGGGAUACAUUUAGAAACUGCAUCAAACGGUGGCUUGACUUGCAGGGUGAGAGUCAGAAAAUAGCAGAAACAUAUAAACAUUGUCUAGAAAUCGAGUUUGACCGUGUGCCCGAAGACGCAGGGUUUCACUCCAUUUGCUACCGGCGUUUUAUUGACAAAAAGCGCUUGGAUGCGGCCGAGAAACGAGUUUCACGGCGUCCUGAAGCUGGUGAUGAUCAUAACACAGACCAGUCUGUGUCAUCGGGAAAUAGUAUUUCGUCAACGUAUUGCCCAACAAAAAAACUUAGGUCCAGUACCGGACUGCUGAUAGCUUGUUCGGGUCCUGUACUUCCUGCUUUGUGCAUAAUUUGCAAGAAAACGGACAAGUACAUCACUGUGGCAGGCAAACGCCAGAAGGACAAUCUUUCACAAGCGGAGACGCUGUCGGCAGGUAUAAAGCACACAAGCACACGUUUGAACUUAAAGUUAUAUGCCAUAUGCUGAGAACCAUAACUAACUUUCAAAUACAUCAAUAUUUACAUUACAUGUACAUUAUAAUGUUUAUAGUGCAGUCAGUUUUUGCAUACACAUAUGCAUGAACAGUCAGAACUGUUAUGUUUUUUUAAAUACAUAUUUAUUACAGGCCAGUUGCUCAAAGCAGCUGAGAUGAAGGAAGACACUAGCAUUCUUGUGCAUAUUAAAGACAAAGACUGUGUCUCUGGAAGUAUGAUAUCACAAGUCCUGUUACAGACAGUACACCAGGUUCUUGACAAAGUCUACUGGAACAAAUACACAGACCUCAGAAGAACACAAUGAGCCAACCUAUGAUGUCAGCUACAAGAUCUUCUCUGAGAGAAUCAUCUGCCAUCGAAUAAUUGUAAACCAAGAGGUGAUGACAAUGACACAGCUAAGAAAAAUGUUUUUAAAUCUUGUAAAAAGCCAUGAAGAUCUUGAUGCUUCAAACUACAGGUAAUUUAAAUACCCUAAGUUUAUUUUGCAGAUUUGGAAUAAACAUUUACGCAAACUUUUUCUCAGAAAAAUUUAAUAAAUAAUAAUAUUCAUAUUAUUAUUAUUAUCAUAUUAAAUAUUCAUAUAAUAUUCUGUUUAGUUGACAGAGUACCAGUAAAUGGAGCUAUACUUUUUGAUGGCAUGGCAGUCAUUCAAGCCAUUCAGUCCAUACCAAGUACCUUCGGGGAGCUUGCUGACACUAUUCUACAGUACUUAGUCAAGCUUGCUCUCAAGCACAACUGUACACGGAUAGAUUUUGUGAUAGACAAGUAUCCAGAAAUUAGUAUUAAAAAUGUAGAAUGAUCACGCAGAGCUGUUGGUGGCACACAACAGGUAAAAAUUUAUGGACGGGAUCAAAAGACACCAACACAAUGGAAGAAGUUUCUGUCGGAUGGGACAAACAAAGAAGCACUGGCAGAAUUCCUCUAUGUAAUGUGGCGAGACGCUGAUCUUACCAUUUUAGGAAACAGAGGAAAGAGCUACAUGUGAAGAUGGUUCUGAUGAAAGUGAUAAGGAUAGUAGUGAUGAGUAAAGGUGAUCUGUGUCACAGGUUACUUGGAUUUGAGCUGUAAUGAAGCUGCUGUAAAUGUUUAAUAUUUGUCGUUAUUGAAAAAUUAGUGCAGCAGUCCAGCAUUUCAAGUCAUUUUAGCCAACUUGGACCAAAAACUGUUUUUAUCUUUAAUUUUGUGUGAUUCCUAAGUGCCUACUGAACAUUUUGAUACAUACAACAUAACAAAAAUGUUUAAGUUUCAAUUUGUUCUUCAGUUUUAUUUGGUGCGAAUAGGUGAAGUUGAAGUGCGUUAUAAAAAAAAAAUUAAUUAUUUCAUGGUCUUCCUUCAAAAUUGAGUUGAUUAAUGCACCAAUACUUGUCUCAGAUAUGUAGCUACAUGUAUAAAUGUGGAUUUGACAUAUAUUUUGUUUUGAUUAAAUGCGUAUUAAUAAAGUUACAGGCCAAACUAGCAGCAUGAGAUUUUCGUUUUUUGUAAAUUCCUAAUUAUACACAUUUUUGCAUCCUGACAAAAAACUGCAGUAUUUUUUGUGGAGAACUUUUAACAUAGAAGCCAUAAGACUGUUGUCUAUCCAGAAAUUCAUUAAAAAAGUAGUGCCCAGACGUGGGAACGAAAAGUGAUUUCUAGCCACUUUUUAUAUGUUCACCUUAU